UGUAAAGUUCAAGCUCCGAUUAUGAGGGCGAAACCGCGAAUGGCUCAUUAAAUCAGUCAUAACCUACUUGAUUGUUUAAAGUUUAUAUGGAUAACUGUGGUAAUUCUAGAGCUAAUACAUGCACAAAGGGGGCGACUCUUGCAAGAGAGAAGCUCUGCGUUUAUUAGACUAAGACCAAUGAUUGUAACUUCGGUUGCAAUCUUGAAAUAAGGUGACUCUGAAUAAAUAAUGGGUGAAAGCCCAUGUUGCUGACCUGACAUACCAAAAGGCUUGCUCGCUCAUUUAUGGGUAGCUUGUCUGUCAGGCAAAUCAAUCGAGUGUCUGCUCUAUCAACUGUGGAUGGUAGGAUAAUUGCCUACCAUGGUGAUGACGGGUAACGGGGAGUUAGGGCUCGACUCCGGAGAACAAGCCUGAGAAACGGCUAGUAGGACUAAGGUCUGCAGCAGGCGCGAAACUUACACAAUGCUAGAUUAAAAUUAGCGAUGUAGUGAAGAAAAAUAACGAUGUACUUCCAUUUAAACAUGGUAGUACAAUUGGAAUGAGACGACUAUAAACCAGUUAGUCGAGUAACAAAUGGAGGGCAAGUCUGGUGCCAGCAGCCGCGGUAAUUCCAGCUCCAUUAGCAUACAUUAAAGUUGUUGCGGUUAAAAAGCUCGUAGUUGAAUUUUAGGCGGGCUCUAUUGGCAGGCAAUCGUUAAGGUUUUGGUUUGAUCCUGUAUCAUCCAUUACUGGUUGUCCUGUUCCUAUAGGAACCCGCUGUUUCGUCACUUAAUCGAGUGCGAAGCAUGCUGGAUUAAAUAUAUUUCAAUAAUAUAUCUAUUUCAGCGAGUUUACCUUGAGAAAAUUAGAGUGCUCACAGCAGGCAGUUGGGGUGUAAAAGCUCCUUUUAUGCUUGAAUAAUGUUGCAUGGAAUAAUAGAAUACGGCCUCGGUUCUAUUCUGUUGGUCUUAUAGAACAACAAACAAGUUGGUUAAAGCGAUCAAAGUCUGAACUUUUAGUGUGGCUUUAAAUUUUACUAGURAGCCUGUUGCGUGGGGAUAAAACCUCAGAGCCAGAUUACUAUAAUAUUUUUAGUCAAUCAACGCUAUCUGUUCUUAAGGACUAGCUUUUUAAUCAACUGAGGCAAUGGUUAAAAGAAAUAGUCGCGGCGGCAUCAGUACUGCAUCGUGAGAGGUGAAAUUCUUAGACCGAUGCAAGACUAACUGAAGCGAAAGCGUUUGCCGAGGAUAUUUUCAUUAAUCAAGAACGAAAGUUAGAGGUUCGAAGGCGAUCAGAUACCGCCCUAGUUCUAACCAUAAACGUUGCCAACUAGCAAUUGGGUUGCGAUUCCUUUAAUCGUUGUUAGGUAAAUCAGCUUGUAUGCUUGGGUGAGAAAUCAUUCCAACAUGCAGGUUGACUAACGCGAUUUUUAUGAUCCACCCAGCGGCUCUCGUAGGGAAACCAAAGUGUUUGGGUUCCGGGGGAAGUAUGAUUGCAAAGUUGAAACUUAAAGGAAUUGACGGAAGGGCACCACCAGGAGUGGAGCCUGCGGCUUAAUUUGACUCAACACGGGGAAACUUACUAGAUUAGAACUCUGGAAUGAUUGACAGAUUGAUAGCUCUUUCUUGAUUCAGAGGAUGGUGGUGCAUGGCCGUUCUUGAUUCGUAUUCCGAAACGUCUGCUUAAUUGCGAUAACGAGUGAGACCUCACCCAACUAACUAGUCGUUUGGUACGCUGUGGAACACAAAAGUCUUGGUAGGGUUUAAUGGGGUGGUUGGUUUGGGUUCGCUUAGAUCAGCUAUUCCUCCCUAUUUAAGAUGUUCUCUGCUUGCCAACGGACUUCUUAGAGGGAUAAACGGUGUUUUAGCCGUAAGAAACGAGGCAAUAACAGGUCUGUGAUGCCCUUAGAUAUUCUAGGCCGCACGCGUGCUACAAUGGCGUGUGCAGAAAGCUUGUUCGAGGUUUGUCCAGAGAGAACUAGUUGCUUGGUUUGCGUUCGCAAGGAUGUAGAUCGGCUUCAAAGUGGCUCUGGUUUUUCAAGCCGAGAGAAACCGUAGUCGAAAGAUUACGGCAAUCAUAAAUACACGCCGUGAUUUGGGAUUGGGGAUUGCAAUUGUUGCCCAUGAACGAGGAAUUCCCAGUAAGCGCAAUUCAUCAUAUUGCGUUGAUUACGUCCCUGCCCUUUGUACACACCGCCCGUCGCUACUACCGAUUGGAAGUUUUAGUGAGGCAUUUGGACCUGCUUUAGACUAACUUUCGGGUUAGGAUUAAGCGGGGAAGUCUGUCGAACUCAAAUUUCUAGAGGAAGUAAAAGUCGUAACAAGGUUUCCGU
rnacentral:rRNA from 1 species